UACGGAGGGUGCGAACGUUAAUCGGAAUUACUGGGCGUAAAGCGCACGUAGGUGGUUUGCUAAGUCAGCUGUGAAAUCCCCGGGCUCAACCUGGGCACUGCAGUUGAAACUGGCAAGCUAGAGUAGGGUAGAGGGGUGUGGAAUUCCAGGUGUAGCGGUGAAAUGCGUAGAUAUCUGGAGGAACAUCAGUGGCGAAGGCGACACCCUGGACUCAUACUGACACUGAGGUGCGAAAGCGUGGGGAGCAAACAGG
rnacentral:rRNA from 1 species